rnacentral:misc_RNA from 1 species
GAUGAAGAACGUAGUGAAAUGCGAUAAGUAAUGUGAAUUGCAGAAUUCAGUGAAUCAUCGAGUCUUUGAACGCACAUUGCGCCCCCUGGUAUUCCGGGGGGCAUGCAUGUCCGAGCGUCAUUGCUGCCCUCAAGCACGGCUUGUGUGUUGGGCCUCCGUCCUCCUCCCGGGGGACGGGCCCGAAAGGCAGCGGCGGCACCGCGUCCGGUCCUCGAGCGUAUGGGGCUUCGUCACCCGCUCUUGUAGGCCCGGCCGGCGCUUGCCGACACAUCAAUCUUUUUUCCAGGUUGACCUCGGAUCAGGUAGGGAUACCCGCUGAACUUAAGCAUAUCAAUAAGCGGAGGA